UACAGAGGUGGCAAGCGUUGUUCGGAAUUACUGGGCGUAAAGGGCGCGUAGGCGGUUCGUUAAGUCCUGUGUGAAAUCCCCCGGCUCAACUGGGGAACUGCACAGGAAACUAGCGGGCUUGAGUUCGGGAGAGGGAAGCGGAAUUCCGGGGUGUAGCGGUAGAAAUGGCGUAGAUAUCCGGAGGAACACCGGUGGCGAAGGCGGCUUCCUGGACCGACACUGACGCUGAGG
rnacentral:rRNA from 1 species